rnacentral:tRNA from 1 species
GGAGAGGUGCGAGAGUGGUUGAAUCGGGCGGUCUCGAAAACCGUUGUGCGCGCAAGCGUACCGUGGGUUCGAAUCCCACCCUCUCCG